AUGAGAUAGAACUGGAAGAGUUGAGUCCUAUUGCAAAUGAAUUCAAUCCAAGUGCAAAUGAAUCUAGUAGCUUUCCUUCUGAUUUGAAUGAACUCCCUCAAGAUUUUGUCGAAUCAACAAUGGAUGUGAUUGCCACAACUCCACCGAGUCCUGUGGACAAUGAUGGGGCAGAACCUAGUGGAAGUGGCUGCUUUUGUUUGAUGAAUAUAUUGGAUAUAUUGGUAAGGAUAUGCCGCUUGGAUUCAUGCAACAUUUUUUGAUCGUCAUCUUUGGGAUCAUGAUUACCUUACAAGUGUAGCCUUCAAACUGCUAAAAAUUUGCUGUUGGAUAUCCAGAAUCCAAACUUCAACUCUGGAAUGCUCAGCCUUCAAAA